UAUAUGAUGAUCAACUGUAAAAACUUGACUAUUUUUAGCCAUGCAAUGAUCUGGGACAAUCCUGAAAGAUUCAUGGUGAGAAAUGUUCUCCUCCUCCAGGGAAAGAACUCUGGGAGUCAGAUAGGUAGAGAUUAAAGCAUAUGAUCUUUCCCAUCAGGGUAUUUAUGGAUUUAUUUUGGGGUUUCGAAUAUACAUGAGUGUGCUCUGACAACAAUGACCAAUAUGGAACUGUGUUUUGCAUGAUAAUAGUAGUAGUAGUUGUAGUAGUAGUAGUGUCUCCGCAACCUAGGAUGACUAUUGUCUUUGUGUGUUUUUGUGCACAAAGACACUUGUGCAUGAAGAUUUAAGUGGAAAAGUUGAUGCACAGAGACAGUCCCACUCUCUCGGCAUUGGAAGCCUGGGUCCAGUGGCACAAAAAGUCGUUACAUCUGGAGACUUUCUCAGUUGCAUUGGAUGGCUGUGUUGUCCUUCGUGCUCCAACACGCCCUAAGCACUCCACAGUGCCUUGUUGCGUAGCCAUCUCAGCCGUUGAACCUUCUUAUUGGUUUCUUUCGUCUGUUCAGCGGAAGCAGUCUUCACAUGCUGGCCCAUGGAGGAGGUUAAUAUACAACAUGCGGUACUUGAUUACCUGAAAAGGUGCCUACUUCCUACUACUGAGUACCACGUUUGGGGGAAGGACAGUGUUCAAGAGGAUGGUGGGCCUGGGAAGCCAUGCCCAAGAGGACCAGCUGAAGAAAUUGAGCUUGGAGGAAAGGAGACUUGAGUGGUGCCCAAAUAUUUGAAAGUCCUAGCUUGCAAGAGCCUAUGGUUAAAUUUUCAGUGGAACUAACAAAAGCCAUCUGGCGCGAGUUGAGGGUGGGCACCCCCUUAUUUCUUCGUCAAAAAGAUCGAGGUGCCAGAUGACUGGAAGACAGCAUGACCUUGGGGCACACUGCAGCUCUUCUGGACAACUAGGUGAC